rnacentral:lncRNA from 1 species
AUAUAUAUAUAUAUAUAUAUUGAGAAAUAGUAAAAAAGAAAUCAUUUCUAACCAGAUUUUCCAAGUGGUGCGCCAAUAAUUGUUGCCCGAAAUUUACAAUCAUGUAAUAGGAUAGAGCGGCAUAGAAAUCUUCAUUGCCUGAAAUUGCACGUUUCAUGUCUUAAUCGGUCAUAUCUCAAGUUCACCAGCAAAAUUUAUGCCAUGUGAGGUAAAUGGAUGGUGGUCGCAAUCGCAUACAGAAAUAUUUUUAUAGUUGAUUUUUCGAUUUAUUAAUAAAAAAAUAUUUAGUUGGAAUUAUUGUGUUAUAAAUUGUGUCCGUGUUAAGAAUAAAAUUAACUAAAUUAAAAUACAAUAUAAAAUGACUUUUGCUAUGCAUUGAAAUAAUUACGAUGCAUCAUCUCAUCAUCCUGGACAAAAACCUCAUCGCAUACUUACAUGUCAUAGGAUGAAUACCUGGUAUGCAUCGCUCGUAUAGAGGCCUAUCAAACCAAAGAAAUGCUUCAACCAUCGAGACUCCAUUGAGAAAAGAAAUACAUCAAACUUUAACACUCGAACGAAAGCAUGAUUGGAGGACUUGAUCAGCAACAAGAUUAAGCGCUAUUGGUCUUAAACAUUGACGAAAGCCUUUGUGGGGAUUCCGACAAAAUCAAUGUUAAUGUUAGUGUACUAAAUCCUUGUGUACAAACAAUGAAACUUUGGACAAAUGUCACAAAAGCACAAAUGUCCAUAAGCUUUUAAAGUGGGACUUAAUCACGACUUCUAACAUAGGAUCAAAAGACUAUGAACAUAGAAAAUUACUAAAAUCCCCCAUAAAUCACCUAUAAGUAGACCAUUGCACAAUGAAGUAAGGAUCCUAACUUCUACUUCAUUGGCAUUAAAAAAUAUUAUCCAUUUUUAGGUCGAUAGAGCUUAGGGUUUACUGUUAACUUCAAGUCUUGCAAAAAGGGCGUUAUUGGAACAGUUUAAAAUAAAUAUAGGUGGGGGAAAAAGACACUCUUUAUACUCUUAAAAGAGUUGAUUUAUAUAAUACUAGGAAAAAAUCCGAUUACCUCUUUCAUUCUUUGAACAUCUGAUUCAAUGUGUUGUCAUAACAAGAAUGUCUUACUAUUUUUUUUGUUCUUACUUAAUUAUAAAAAUUUCUUGAACAGUAAAUGAAAGGUAAAAAAAAAAGAAAAAGAAAAAAAAAGUAAACCCAGUAAGUGACAUAUUAAAGAUAUAACUCUAAUUUCAACAUAUUUUUAAUUAUUUAAACUUUUAAAUAAAAAAUGAUGAAAAAAAUUCAAUUCUAUAGUAUAAAAUAUAAUUUUAAGAUAACGGAUACGCGUCAAAGAAACAAGAAAAAAGUUAAACUAUUCAACCAUUCUUUAAAGGUUUCUUGAGUAGCAAAAAUGCUUUUGCCUAUUCCUUC